rnacentral:tRNA from 2 species
GGGUCUGUGGCUCAGCCAGGUAGAGCGACGGACUCUUAAUCCGUAUGUCGUGGGUCCGAAUCCCACCAGACCCG